AUAAUGGGUCAGCGACUUAUAUUCUGUAGCAAGGUUAACCGAAUAGGGGAGCCGAAGGGAAACCGAGUCUUAACUGGGCGUUAAGUUGCAGGGUAUAGACCCGAAACCCGGUGAUCUAGCCAUGGGCAGGUUGAAGGUUGGGUAACACUAACUGGAGGACCGAACCGACUAAUGUUGAAAAAUUAGCGGAUGACUUGUGGCUGGGGGUGAAAGGCCAAUCAAACCGGGAGAUAGCUGGUUCUCCCCGAAAGCUAUUUAGGUAGCGCCUCGUGAAUUCAUCUCCGGGGGUAGAGCACUGUUUCGGCAAGGGGGUCAUCCCGACUUACCAACCCGAUGCAAACUGCGAAUACCGGAGAAUGUUAUCACGGGAGACACACGGCGGGUGCUAACGUCCGUCGUGAAGAGGGAAACAACCCAGACCGCCAGCUAAGGUCCCAAAGUCAUGGUUAAGUGGGAAACGAUGUGGGAAGGCCCAGACAGCCAGGAUGUUGGCUUAGAAGCAGCCAUCAUUUAAAGAAAGCGUAAUAGCUCACUGGUCGAGUCGGCCUGCGCGGAAGAUGUAACGGGGCUAAACCAUGCACCGAAGCUGCGGCAGCGACGCUUAUGCGUUGUUGGGUAGGGGAGCGUUCUGUAAGCCUGCGAAGGUGUGCUGUGAGGCAUGCUGGAGGUAUCAGAAGUGCGAAUGCUGACAUAAGUAACGAUAAAGCGGGUGAAAAGCCCGCUCGCCGGAAGACCAAGGGUUCCUGUCCAACGUUAAUCGGGGCAGGGUGAGUCGACCCCUAAGGCGAGGCCGAAAGGCGUAGUCGAUGGGAAACAGGUUAAUAUUCCUGUACUUGGUGUUACUGCGAAGGGGGGACGGAGAAGGCUAUGUUGGCCGGGCGACGGUUGUCCCGGUUUAAGCGUGUAGGCUGGUUUUCCAGGCAAAUCCGGAAAAUCAAGGCUGAGGCGUGAUGACGAGGCACUACGGUGCUGAAGCAACAAAUGCCCUGCUUCCAGGAAAAGCCUCUAAGCAUCAGGUAACAUCAAAUCGUACCCCAAACCGACACAGGUGGUCAGGUAGAGAAUACCAAGGCGCUUGAGAGAACUCGGGUGAAGGAACUAGGCAAAAUGGUGCCGUAACUUCGGGAGAAGGCACGCUGAUAUGUAGGUGAAGUCCCUCGCGGAUGGAGCUGAAAUCAGUCGAAGAUACCAGCUGGCUGCAACUGUUUAUUAAAAACACAGCACUGUGCAAACACGAAAGUGGACGUAUACGGUGUGACGCCUGCCCGGUGCCGGAAGGUUAAUUGAUGGGGUCAGCGCAAGCGAAGCUCUUGAUCGAAGCCCCGGUAAACGGCGGCCGUAACUAUAACGGUCCUAAGGUAGCGAAAUUCCUUGUCGGGUAAGUUCCGACCUGCACGAAUGGCGUAAUGAUGGCCAGGCUGUCUCCACCCGAGACUCAGUGAAAUUGAACUCGCUGUGAAGAUGCAGUGUACCCGCGGCAAGACGGAAAGACCCCGUGAACCUUUACUAUAGCUUGACACUGAACAUUGAGCCUUGAUGUGUAGGAUAGGUGGGAGGCUUGGAAGUGUGGACGCCAGUCUGCAUGGAGCCGACCUUGAAAUACCACCCUUUAAUGUUUGAUGUUCUAACGUUGACCCGU
rnacentral:rRNA from 1 species